rnacentral:rRNA from 1 species
UACGUAGGGGGCAAGCGUUGUCCGGAAUCAUUGGGCGUAAAGCGCGUGUAGGCGGCUUGGUAAGUCCGUUCUGAAAGCCCGGGGCUCAACCCCGGGAGGCGGAUGGAUACUGUCAAGCUUGAGUCCGGAAGAGGCGAGUGGAAUUCCCGGUGUAGCGGUGAAAUGCGCAGGUAUCGGGAGGAACACCAAUGGCGAAGGCAGCUCGCUGGGACGUGACUGACGCUGAGACGCGAAAGCGUGGGGAGCAAACAGG